AUACGUAGGUGGCAAGCGUUGUCCGGAUUUACUGGGUGUAAAGGGCGUGCAGCCGGGAAGGCAAGUCAGAUGUGAAAUCCACGGGCUUAACCCGUGAACUGCAUUUGAAACUGUUUUUCUUGAGUGUCGGAGGGGCAAUCGGAAUUCCUAGUGUAGCGGUGAAAUGCGUAGAUAUUAGGAGGAACACCAGUGGCGAAGGCGGAUUGCUGGACGAUAACUGACGGUGAGGCGCGAAAGUGUGGGGAGCAAACAGGAUUAGAUACCCUGGUAGUCCACACUGUAAACGAUGAAUACUAGGUGUGCGGGGACUGACCCCCUGCGUGCCGCAGUAAACACAAUAAGUAUUCCACCUGGGGAGUACGAUCGCAAGGUUGAAACUCAAAUGAAUUGACGGGG
rnacentral:rRNA from 1 species